rnacentral:rRNA from 1 species
ACGGGAGGCAGCAGUGAGGAAUAUUGGUCAAUGGGCGGAAGCCUGAACCAGCCAAGUCGCGUGAAGGAUGAAGGUAUUAUGUAUUGUAAACUUCUUUAGACGUAGAGAAAUAAGGGGAUCGUGAUCCCUGAUGCUAGUAUACGUAGAAUAAGGAUCGGCUAACUCCGUGCCAGCAGCCGCGGUAAUACGGAGGAUGCGAGCGUUAUCCGGAUUUAUUGGGUUUAAAGGGUGCGUAGGCGGCUUGGUAAGUCAGCGGUGAAAGCUCGGGGCUCAACUCCGGAACUGCCGUUGAUACUGUCAGGCUUGAAUGCGGAUGCCGUGGGAGGAAUGUGUGGUGUAGCGGUGAAAUGCAUAGAUAUCACACAGAACACCGAUUGCGAAGGCAUCUCACGAAUCCGCUAUUGACGCUGAGGCACGAAAGUGUGGGGAUCAAACAGGAUUAGAUACCCUGGUA